rnacentral:rRNA from 1 species
CUACGGGGUGCUGCAGUAAGGAAUAUUGCGCAAUGGAGGCAACUCUGACGCAGCCAUGCCGCGUGCAGGAAGAAGGCCUUAUGGGUCGUAAACUGCUUUUAUUUAGGAAUAAACCCCCGAACGUGUUCGGGGCUGAAGGUACUAAACGAAUAAGCACCGGCUAACUCCGUGCCAGCAGCCGCGGUAAUACGGAGGGUGCAAGCGUUAUCCGGAUUUAUUGGGUUUAAAGGGUGCGCAGGCGGGCGAUUAAGGCAGUGGUGAAAUCCCGGGGCUCAACUCCGGAACUGCCAUUGAUACUGAUAGUCUUGAGUUUGGUUGAAGUGGGCGGAAUGUAGCAUGUAGCGGUGAAAUGCAUAGAUAUGCUACAGAACACCAAUCGCGAAGGCAGCUCACUAAGCCAAAACUGACGCUCAUGCACGAAAGCGUGGGGAUCAAACAGGAUUAGAUACCCGGGUAGUC